CUUGUGGCACUUCCUCUUCCAUUACAGUCAUAUUGUCAGGGUAAUAGCAAGAGAGCAGGCUGCCAUCUGGAGCAUUAUCACACCGCACUGGUGUCAAGAAGCAGUGAAGUCUGGUAUCCAGUGUCUUGGAUUUACUUUCUCUCCCUCUGGCAAGGACUCUAUGCCUUCUGCUCAUUCAGGUACACUAAUUCCUUUUCAUGGGUGAAAUUGUUUGGGGACUUUCACGGCACUGUUUGCAGUUAAUAACAGCAGUGAUUGAAAGUGGAUGCUGCUCUGCAUAUUUAGGAGUUAGGGUUGAUGGACUUUCUAAACAGAGGCUAAUUUUAUGAAGGAUGGGUGCCUCAGUGUGAGCUGCAGCUGUCUGCAUAAAUAAUAUUAUUCAAGAAAAACGAGAAAACCCUUGAAGCAAUCCUCUCAAAGAGCUGAUGGCCUGGAGUUUAUGGAUUAGAAUACAUCCAUUUGUUUUAGUUUGACAGUUCUCACUCUUGACUUUACUGCCACCUAGUGAAAUCAGACAACUUCACUUGAUGCUGGUAUGAGAGACAAGCUUUCAAACACUAAAUAAAAGUUGGAAAUGCACAGGUUAUUCAAACUGAUCAAAGUGUGAAUAACCUCAAUGUUUGAGCAACAACUAAACUAUUCUGUGUGAAGUAUUUUUUUAAAAAUCACAUUUUGAGGACCUACCUUAAAUUUUACCUGACAUUCUGAGAACAUCUAAGUCUAUUUGGCUCUCUCCUGAAGUCCUUUGUUCUUAUUUGCAAAGGCUUCCUGCAGGAUUAGUUAUUUACUUCCAUGGCAACAGAAUCACAUUAUUUUUUUUUGUCAAGUGAUCAUUAUGGCCACCACACAAGCAGCUGUCCCAUUACCUCUCUGAACUCCACCCAACCCCUUCUUCCUGACGCUCCAUGCCAGCCUCUCUCUCUCCCUUUCAUCCUCUCAUUCCUCAUCCAAUCCUCGGUGGAUUCAUUCUGUGUCGGCUGCUCGUCUGCCAUACCAUCCAUUAACCAUUCCCACAUCCUCUGCGUCCAGAUCUAUGAUUUACUGCUGGGCAGAGAGCCUAGUUUGAAUUGAUCUAUAGCUAGAUUUACGUCUGCCCCCCAGUCUGCCUUAAAUGGGGGAGAAAAGAACAUAAAUGGGAUCUCGUCCUGUUUUCUAAUAACCUUGGAGCUCAAAUGCGCAUCAUUUGCAUGCGAGAUACUCAAGCGAAGGAUGUGAUUCUUAAGGAUCUACAUAUCUUACACUGAGAUGCUUUGCAGAAUAAGCAUCCAAAUGGCAGGUAUUAUAAAAACACCCUCAUUUAGUUAGUAAUAUUUUAAGUGUGUGUGGGGCUUCAGGGUGUCUGUCCUUUAGAUGUAAGUGGCAGAGCCUUUGUGCUCUUAUGUAAAUUUGCCCUUUUCUGAUGCACUGAGAGCCGGGGAGGAUAAUUGUUUAUGAUUACUCUGUGACAUUUCCAUAUGGCUGACGAAUGGUUUGUCAACGCACGCACACACACACUCACUAGAACAUACACCUACGUCAGGAUCUAGCUGUUUGGAGCCUAAUGGAAGCUUUAUUUAGCCCCAAAUUGGAAACCCUGGCUAUAUGAAGGAAAUCAACCUCACUGGUGAAACGGUAUCAUUUUUUCAACUGUGUGUCUCUGAACCUAAGGGCCCUCUUUUAAGAGGGGGAUGGGUUCGGGUGUCGGGCUGAUAGGGUGGCAGAUAUUGUUGCAAUCCAGGAUGGAUGGUACAUAAAGCGAAAGUGCUUUGUUCUAUCGAUCUGACACUCUCUUUCAACCCCCAUAUACUUUUUUUUUGUUAUCAUGAUAGCAUCAGGAUUAUAACCCUAUCCACACAUGAUUCCUAUUCCCCAUUCACGCCCCCAUCAUUUCCCAUGGGAUACUUGUAUCGGGUGAGUGUGGGUGGGGGUUUACCUUUGCAUGAGCCCUGGUUGAGAUCAUAGGGGCUAAAUCAUAUUUACCCUAACCCCUCCCUCCCUCCCUCCCUCCCUCCCUCCAUUCUCUCCCUCCUCCUCCAUGCCCCCCUUCCCUCCUGCUCUGUUGGGCAGAUAGAUGACAGCCACCUUUUCUUUCCUCCAGACAGCAGGGUGUUUGCUGUUCCUCUUAUCCACCCAAGAGACCGGCCUCGAAACAGUGUUAUUCACCAGCAGGAUCUGUCUCUGUUUGCCCUGCCAUGUUGUAAGAGGAACAAAAGUGUUUGUCUGUGGCAUGAAUACAUCUAGAUCUUGGAUAACCACCACCACACAAAAUAAUAUCCUUUUUUGGGUCCUGUAUUAUACUGUACUCCUUGAAUGUUAUAAAGUUGUCUUUGGUGUUAUUGAAUCCUUUUCUGCUUUCUGUGGACUGACACAUUUUUCUGAUACUUCCCACUAGGCUUGAGAUAAUGUCUUUUUUGUGUAUUGACAACAGUUCCCAUCCAUAAAAAAGUCAGAAUAAUAAGGAAAGCCUCAGGGAACAAAACAUCAACCUUUCAUUUAAUAUCGAGCCACAACUUUUGUGUUAAGUCAGUUUUUGAACACAUUAAAAAAUCACUUCUUUUAUAUUUCCCCCAAAAAAAUUCAUCCAAGGGUG